rnacentral:rRNA from 1 species
CGAACGGACGAGAAGCUUGCUUCUCUGAUGUUAGCGGCGGACGGGUGAGUAACACGUGGAUAACCUACCUAUAAGACUGGGAUAACUUCGGGAAACCGGAGCUAAUACCGGAUAAUAUUUUGAACCGCAUGGUUCAAAAGUGAAAGACGGUCUUGCUGUCACUUAUAGAUGGAUCCGCGCUGCAUUAGCUAGUUGGUAAGGUAACGGCUUACCAAGGCAACGAUGCAUAGCCGACCUGAGAGGGUGAUCGGCCACACUGGAACUGAGACACGGUCCAGACUCCUACGGGAGGCAGCAGUAGGGAAUCUUCCGCAAUGGGCGAAAGCCUGACGGAGCAACGCCGCGUGAGUGAUGAAGGUCUUCGGAUCGUAAAACUCUGUUAUUAGGGAAGAACAUAUGUGUAAGUAACUGUGCACAUCUUGACGGUACCUAAUCAGAAAGCCACGGCUAACUACGUGCCAGCAGCCGCGGUAAUACGUAGGUGGCAAGCGUUAUCCGGAAUUAUUGGGCGUAAAGCGCGCGUAGGCGGUUUUUUAAGUCUGAUGUGAAAGCCCACGGCUCAACCGUGGAGGGUCAUUGGAAACUGGAAAACUUGAGUGCAGAAGAGGAAAGUGGAAUUCCAUGUGUAGCGGUGAAAUGCGCAGAGAUAUGGAGGAACACCAGUGGCGAAGGCGACUUUCUGGUCUGUAACUGACGCUGAUGUGCGAAAGCGUGGGGAUCAAACAGGAUUAGAUACCCUGGUAGUCCACGCCGUAAACGAUGAGUGCUAAGUGUUAGGGGGUUUCCGCCCCUUAGUGCUGCAGCUAACGCAUUAAGCACUCCGCCUGGGGAGUACGACCGCAAGGUUGAAACUCAAAGGAAUUGACGGGGACCCGCACAAGCGGUGGAGCAUGUGGUUUAAUUCGAAGCAACGCGAAGAACCUUACCAAAUCUUGACAUCCUUUGACAACUCUAGAGAUAGAGCCUUCCCCUUCGGGGGACAAAGUGACAGGUGGUGCAUGGUUGUCGUCAGCUCGUGUCGUGAGAUGUUGGGUUAAGUCCCGCAACGAGCGCAACCCUUAAGCUUAGUUGCCAUCAUUAAGUUGGGCACUCUAAGUUGACUGCCGGUGACAAACCGGAGGAAGGUGGGGAUGACGUCAAAUCAUCAUGCCCCUUAUGAUUUGGGCUACACACGUGCUACAAUGGACAAUACAAAGGGCAGCGAAACCGCGAGGUCAAGCAAAUCCCAUAAAGUUGUUCUCAGUUCGGAUUGUAGUCUGCAACUCGACUACAUGAAGCUGGAAUCGCUAGUAAUCGUAGAUCAGCAUGCUACGGUGAAUACGUUCCCGGGUCUUGUACACACCGCCCGUCACACCACGAGAGUUUGUAACACCCGAAGCCGGUGGAGUAACCUUUUAGGAGCUAGCCGUCGAAGGUGGGACAAAUGAUUGGGGUGAAGUCGUAACAAGGUAGCCGUAUCGGAAGGUGCGGCUGGAUCACCUCCUUU